rnacentral:rRNA from 1 species
ACGGAGGGAGCUAGCGUUGUUCGGAAUUACUGGGCGUAAAGCGCAUGUAGACGGCAUAGCAAGCCAAGGGUGAAAGUUAGGGGCUUAACCUCUAAACUGCGUUUGAGACUGCUGAGCUUGAGUGCAGGAGAGGAAAGUGGAAUUCCCAGUGUAGAAGUGAAAUUCGUAGAUAUUCGGAGGAACACCAGUGGCGAAGGCGACUUGCUGGACUGGUAUUGACGCUGAGAUGCGAAAGCGUGGGGAGCAAACGG